UUCCGGUUGAUCCUGCCGGACCUGACUGCUAUCGGAUUGAUAUUAAGCCAUGCGAGUCUUUGUAGUAAUACAAGGCAGACGGCUCAGUAACACGUAGUCAAUCUACCCUAUGGACGGGGAUAACCUCGGGAAACUGAGAAUAAUACCCGACAGAUCAUAAUGCCUGGAAUGGUUUAUGGUUCAAAUGAUUUUUCGCCAUAGGAUGGGACUGCGGUCUAUCAGCUUGUUGGUGAGGUAAUGGCCCACCAAGGCUAUUACAGAUACGGGCUCUGAGAGGAGAAGCCCGGAGAUGGGUACUGAGACACGGACCCAGGUCCUAUGGGGCGCAGCAGGCGAGAAAACUUUGCAAUGUGCGAAAGCACGACAAGGUUAAUCCGAGUGUUUUCUGCUAAAGAAAUCUUUUGUUAGUUCUAAAACCACUAUCGAAUAAGGGGUGGGCAAGUUCUGGUGUCAGCCGCCGCGGUAAAACCAGCACCUCAAGUGGUCAGGAUGAUUAUUGGGCCUAAAGCAUCCGUAGCCGGCUAUGUUAGUUUUCGGUUAAAUCCAUGUGCUCAACACAUGGGCUGCCGUGAAUACUGCAUAGCUAGGGAGUGGGAGAGGUAGACGGUACUCUGUAGGAAGGGGUAAAAUCCUUUGAUCUAUAGAUGACCACCAGUGGCGAAGGCGGUCUACCAGAACAUGUCCGACGGUGAGGGAUGAAAGCUGGGGGAGCAAACCGGAUUAGAUACCCGGGUAGUCCCAGCUGUAAACUAUGCAAACUCAGUGAUGCAUUGGCUUGUGGCCAGUGCAGUGCCGCAGAGAAGUCGUUAAGUUUGCCGCCUGGGAAGUACGUACGCAAGUAUGAAACUUAAAGGAAUUGGCGGGGGAGCACCACAAGGGGUGAAGCCUGCGGUUCAAUUGGAGUCAACGCCGGGA
rnacentral:rRNA from 1 species